CCUACGGGAGGCUGCAGUGGGGAAUAUUGGACAAUGGGCGAAAGCCUGAUCCAGCCAUGCCGCGUGUGUGAAGAAGGCCUUCGGGUUGUAAAGCACUUUCAGUGGGGAAGAAAGCCUUGGGGCUAAUACCCUCGAGGAAGGACAUCACCCACAGAAGAAGCACCGGCUAACUCCGUGCCAGCAGCCGCGGUAAUACGGAGGGUGCGAGCGUUAAUCGGAAUUACUGGGCGUAAAGCGCGCGUAGGCGGUCUGAUAAGCCGGUUGUGAAAGCCCCGGGCUCAACCUGGGAACGGCAUCCGGAACUGUCAGGCUAGAGUGCAGGAGAGGAAGGUAGAAUUCCCGGUGUAGCGGUGAAAUGCGUAGAGAUCGGGAGGAAUACCAGUGGCGAAGGCGGCCUUCUGGACUGACACUGACGCUGAGGUGCGAAAGCGUGGGUAGCAAACAGGAUUAGAUACCCGGGUCGUC
rnacentral:rRNA from 1 species